AUGAUUUUCUAUUUUUUUUUCUCCUUUGCCAAUUUUUGCUUUAACUCCUUCCCCUUUGAACUGGAAUUUUCUUUCCCCUUUAAUUUUGUUCCUCAUUUUCUUUCAUCAGCUGUUACUGAAUCGGAGCUUGAGUUUAAUUUUGAAAUUCUUUUCUUCUCCCUCCAUAGUCACAUCCAGAAAAUGCAAGCAUAUCCGGUUCAAAUCUCAAAUGCAAUGCAGGUAAACCAAUUAACAUUAAAGAUCUUUGAAAAUU